AGAGUUUGAUCAUGGCUCAGGAUGAACGCUAGCGACAGGCCUAACACAUGCAAGUCGAGGGGCAACAUGGUAUCAGCUUGCUGAUACCGAUGGCGACCGGCGCACGGGUGAGUAACGCGUAUGUAAUCUACCUGUAACAGAGGGAUAACCCGGAGAAAUCCGGACUAAUACCUCAUAGCACAUAUUAUUCGCAUGAAUUUUAUGUUAAAGAGACUCGGUUACAGAUGAACAUGCGUUCCAUUAGCUGGUUGCGGGGUCACGGCCCACCAAGGCAACGAUGGAUAGGGGUUCUGACGAGGAAGGUCCCCCACACUGGUACUGAGACACGGACCAGACUCCGUACGGGAGGCA
rnacentral:rRNA from 1 species